rnacentral:tmRNA from 1 species
GGGGGUGACACGGUCUCGACGGGGGUGAGUCCCGGCGUGACCUGCGAGCCGUGGUUCGUCGGUUGGCCACGUUAAAAGCCGACGAAACGAUAGUUGCCAACGACAACUUCGCUCUGGCCGCUUAAUUAAGUGACCACGUCCGUCCGGUUUUUGUCCGCGGAUCCGGAACGGGCGACAUUUAGCGGGCUGGCCGACUCAAGAUACCGGUUCGAGAGAAGGCGAGAUUCAGUCCGGUCAGGGUGCCGACGAGCCUGCCCAUGGGCGCGGCGGUUCCGACAUCAAACCAUGAGGCUACGCUCGUAGACGGCCGACCGGUCCACCUUCGGACGCGGGUUCGACUCCCGCCACCUCCACCA